rnacentral:lncRNA from 1 species
GGCCUUCAACACGGAGCCUUGGCUCACACCGAACAACAAGCUAUAAAGGGCCCCAAAAUUAAUAGUGUAAAACCAUUCAAACAGGAAAACCUACGGUCUAAUCUAUAUAAACAACACGAGAAACGAGAAACACGUAUAUAUUACAUAAACAAACGACAAAUACUGUACAUCAGAUUCCUGACUUGGGACAGGUGCAAACAUUUGCAGCGGGAUUAAACGUUUUAAUGGAUCCAAACCUUCUCCCUUUUUCUGAAACAAUAGCAUAACAUCACAA